GGCGGCGUGCUUAACACAUGCAAGUCGAGCGGAAAGGCCCUUCGGGGUACUCGAGCGGCGAACGGGUGAGUAACACGUGAGUAAUCUGCCCUUCACUCUGGGAUAGCCACCGGAAACGGUGAUUAAUACCGGAUACGACACGCUUCUGCAUGGAAUGUGUGUGGAAACUUUUUUGGGUGGGGGAUGUGCUCGCGGCCUAUCAGCUUGUUGGUGGGGUAAUGGCCUACCAAGGCUUCGACGGGUAGCCGGCCUGAGAGGGUGACCGGCCACACUGGGACUGAGACACGGCCCAGACUCCUACGGGAGGCAGCAGUGGGGAAUAUUGGACAAUGGGCGGAAGCCUGAUCCAGCAACGCCGCGUGAGGGAUGACGGCCUUCGGGUUGUAAACCUCUUUCAGCACCGACGAAGCGCAAGUGACGGUAGGUGCAGAAGAAGGACCGGCCAACUACGUGCCAGCAGCCGCGGUAAUACGUAGGGUCCGAGCGUUGUCCGGAAUUAUUGGGCGUAAAGGGCUCGUAGGCGGUUUGUCGCGUCGGGAGUGAAAUCACCGGGCUUAACUCGGUGCUUGCUUUCGAUACGGGCAGACUUGAGGUAUGCAGGGGAGAACGGAAUUCCUGGUGUAGCGGUGAAAUGCGCAGAUAUCAGGAGGAACACCGGUGGCGAAGGCGGUUCUCUGGGCAUUACCUGACGCUGAGGAGCGAAAGUGUGGGGAGCGAACAGGAUUAGAUACCCUGGUAGUCCACACCGUAAACGUUGGGCGCUAGGUGUGGGAUCCAUUCCACGGGUUCCGUGCCGUAGCUAACGCAUUAAGCGCCCCGC
rnacentral:rRNA from 1 species